AAGUCGUAACAAGGUUUCCGUAGGUGAACCUGCGGAAGGAUCAUUAACACGUAUCCAACGUUAAACCCCCCCUGUGAACCUUUAGUGUGCUCGCUCAUUCUGUUGGAAAGUGGCAAUCCCUGGUAAAUCAUCGCCGAACAGUUUUGAUUCAGGGACUUCUGCGAAGAGUGUUGCUUGUAGCGCGAGGCAAGUGGCCUGGCAUUCCUCUGCUUGUUAGUGUCUGAAAGUGUCACUGGCUCUGUAAGAAUGGCGCAGUCACGAUCGCUAGAGGCCGACACGGCCGGCGACCGGGUCACCGGACUCACGCCCCUAAUCACCUUUGCAUGAAAACGGGCCUGCGCUUAAUUGUGUGGCCAUAAACCGAACAACUGUUAACAAUGGAUAUCUAUGUUCUC
rnacentral:misc_RNA from 1 species